rnacentral:rRNA from 1 species
UGGGGAAUAUUGCACAAUGGGGGAAACCCUGACGCAGCGACGCCGCGUGAACGAAGAAGGUAUUCGUAUCGUAAAGUUCUGUCCUAUGGGAAGAUAAUGACAGUACCAUAGAAGAAAGCUCCGGCUAAAUACGUGCCAGCAGCCGCGGUAAUACGUAUGGAGCGAGCGUUGUCCGGCAUUAUUGGGCGUAAAGGGUACGCAGGCGGUUUAAUAAGUCGAAUGUUAAAGAUCGGGGCUCAACCCCGCAAAGCAUUGGAAACUGAUAAACUUGAGUAGUGGAGAGGAAAGUGGAAUUCCUAGUGUAGUGGUGAAAUACGUAGAUAUUAGGAGGAAUACCAGUAGCGAAGGCGACUUUCUGGACACAAACUGACGCUGAGGUACGAAAGCGUGGGGAGCAAACAGG